rnacentral:rRNA from 1 species
AGAGUUUGAUCCUGGCUCAGGACGAACGCUGGCGGCGCGCUUAAUACAUGCAAGUCGAGCGAGAACCAUGGCUUCGGCCGUGGGGACAGCGGCGAACGGGUGAGUAACACGUGGGUAAUCAACCCCCGACACUGGGAUAGCCCGGGGAAACCCGGAUUAAUACCGGAUGCUCCGUCUGGCCCGAGGGCCGGCCGGAAAAGGGUAGCUUCGGCCUCCGGUCGGGGACGAGCCCGCGGCGGAUUAGCUUGUUGGUGGGGUAACGGCCCACCAAGGCGACGAUCCGUAGCUGGUCUGAGAGGACGAUCAGCCACACUGGGACUGAGACACGGCCCAGACUCCUACGGGAGGCAGCAGUAGGGAAUCUUGCGCAAUGGGCGAAAGCCUGACGCAGCGACGCCGCGUGAGGGAAGAAGGCCUUCGGGUUGUAAACCUCUUUCAGGAGGGACGAAGCUACUCGGGUUAAUAGCCCAGAGGGUGACGGUACCUCCAGAAGAAGCCCCGGCUAACUACGUGCCAGCAGCCGCGGUAAUAC